UUUAAGCACGUUUUGUAGAAAAAUCUAAAAAUUUAAAAAAAUCUAAAAUUUAAAAAUCUACUGCACAGUUUUAAUCCACAAAGCUACUAAAGUAAAUGUGGACUGCUAAAACAUUUUCGUACUGGAUAAAAAAUGCUUUUGCAUGCUGAGUAUCUUCUCCAUUUACUUAAAUAUUUCUGGGGAAAAAAUCCAGAGCUUUAGGAAGAAACAGGCAGUUGCACCUGAAAGACUUCACAUAAUAGUUUUGAAAACCUGCAUUUGACCUAGGACGCUUCAAACAACAUGAAAAUCUGGGGGGGUUAGUUCACUUACGGAGAAUAAAUUAGUCCUCUUCUGCAAGGAUGUUUUCUCCUGUCUGGCCUGAUAAGGCCUCCAUUCUGGUUUUAUUCCUACUGGAAGUGAAAUUAUUUCAGUAGGAGAUGCACAAUGAGCACAGCUAAAUUCUUACGACUAACAAAACCGUGCUGUUACUCUCUGUGCCCGUCUUUAAGGCUUUCCCGAACUCUGUGUGUAUACAGGACUCCAAACCUGAAAAACAAGGUGACAGAUAAAACUAACAGAAUUUCAACAUCUUGAUCAGAUUUGUAAGACUGAUGAUAGACUGUUGAGUACUGUUUAUUUUCUUAAAUAAUGUGUCUUUCUCUCAUAGUGGUAAACUUCUGUAACUUGUUGACAAGAACUAUUAUCUCAUUCAUAGAUUAAAUCCAUCCGUGACAUAUUUUGGGAUGUUUUUUGUAUCUGAAUCUUCAGCGUCCUGCUUGCUCCUAUGAAAUUUGCUGGUCCAUCCUUUGGAAAGAAUAGUAGCUUAGCGGUUCCUUUUCUAGCUACUGCUUUUUCUAUUAAAUGGUGUGGAAUUUCUGCAUAACUUAUACAAAACUCUCCUUUCUGUAAAUAUUGUAUUUCAUUCUGGUUUGGUAAUGCUGUGAUGCACAGAUAGGCACUAAAAAGAGAUAAAUUUUGAGAUAAAUUCUUCUUCAUAUUUUUCAGCUAAAAUAUUGAAACUAUUAAAAAAAGGAGAUAAUAUUCUGCUUUUCUUAGUUUAUGAAACUGCAGAUAAUGGCAGAUAAAUGAAGCAGUCUUCUAGGAAACCUGAACUUCUAACUGAUUAUACACAAUAUGUCAGAAGGCUUAAAAUAUGCAAUAGGAACAAGUAGAGCAGUAGCUUCAUCACACUGGGAAUUUGGAAAAUCCAUAGUAAUUUCAGAAUAAUGCAACAGAAAAGAAAGGUAUGUUUUCACUGUGCUUAAUGUAGCAUGGAUGUGUUUCCAUUCCUUACUACCUGAUUAUUUAUCAUUUAUGUAAAACACUUCAGACUUGAGCAGGAGAACAUUCUCAAGCUAAACAAGCAAAAAUGCAUAUGUAUGUGCAUAUACAUUUAAAUAUUUACAUAUGUUUACAUACAGGCAGUACAAAAAUACCAUUUCAUGUCUUAUGCAAAUUAAAUAGUCUUUUAUCUCUAGGUCCCAAGAUUAGAGGCGUCCAAGAGUAUAAUGAGCAAAAGACUCUAGGAAGGCGGCUACAAAGCUGGUGUGGAUAAUACUACGUUGGUUUCAGGCCAGUUUUGAACCAAGACCUGGCCACUCACUUUCAAUAAUCAGUUCUAACUGGAACUCUUUCUUGAUUUUUUUACAGAGGCCGUUAACAACAAGUUUGGAGACAAGACUCCCCGUUUGGAGUCUGGCUGAGUAAAAUAAAUUUUCUUCCCCUUCUGCUAACAAGCAGCAAUUGUUACAAUGCUUCUUUAGUAAACUCACAGCUAGUAACAGCAAACUAAAAAGAUGUCACUAACUUAAGUGCAAUCCUACCUGAAUUACUGAAUUUACUGUUAGCCAGGGUGCCUCCUAUUGUAACUGAAAAUUGCAGAGAGAGGCUUUAGUUCUACUGUGUGUGUGCGCAUGUGCAGGUCUCAGCCACAAACCCUUUAGGAAAACUAGGAGAAAAUGACUAUGCAAUUUUUCCAUACAACAAGAAAAAUUUUGUAAAGAGAAGAAAAAAUAUUACAACAUGGCAAUAUUUACGGGAAUAAUUUGAAAGCAGAAUUUGUUGUGCUUUAAACUAUCAAAAAGAGCUCUGAAAAUAUUUUUUCAUGCUUAUUUCUCUAACAAUCCUCAUUUCUUGUAAGGACUCUCUAAUGAAUAUAAUUUGGUGUAACUUUAUUCAACGUUCCAAGAAAAUAGUCCAAUAUACUUUCUUGAGCGUUAAGAGUUGCUAAAAAUAUUAAAUGUAUUCUUUUAACUGUCGCACCAACAUCAGACUAGUUUUAAGCAAAAUAAUGCAAGAUGCGAGCAUACCCCAGACGAACAACAUGUUGUAGAGAAGCAAGAAAGAAAACGUAAUGUUCCGGGGAAGGAAUACAAAAUGGUAACACCUACUUUACGUAAAAGGCAGUAAUAACCUUAUUAUCGAUAACUGCUUGCAGUUCCUGAGAGAUAAUUUAUGAUCAAAAAACACCAGGGACUAAAGCUACGUAAACACUGUUAGCAAACACUGUUAACCAAUGUAAUCAUUCAAAAAAGGAGCAAAUUAUAUCACUUAAUAAACCAGGGUUCCUAGGAGUUUUUUCUGUUAUAGAAGACCAUGGGGUGUGCUGUAACUUUGGACAUUGUUUAUUUUAUUUUUAUUACCUCUCAGCUGCUAAAAGCCGACAAUUUGUUUCAGAAUAAUACAGCUAUAUUUUGUUUUUUUGCUAGAAGCACAGUAUUUUGAAUGUAAUGAAUUUCGGAGCACUCAGGAAGAUAUCAUCUCUGUGUAGCCAAAAGGGAAGUAUUUGGUCCACCAUCACCUAAUGAGUCACGGGAGAGACAAGAAUAUAACUACAAGUCUGUGCUCUGACUUGUUAAAUCACUCAUUCUUUCCUUUAUUGUGUACAUAGGAACAUAAGUAUGAUCAGGUGGGUAUGUGUUAAAAUAUUGGCAAAUACGGUAUUUUAAUAAAAAUUAUGCAUUUUUAGUAUAUGGUACUGGGGAGUUGAUUUACCAUUACUGGCAACAAGAUGGACAAAGACCAGAAGCAGUGAGUAGUUUAAGUGGCUGUCAUUGGCAAACCACUAUAUCAUUCUAAGUAGCUGAGUAAUGAUCUAACAUGUGGCUUUGUUUUCUUUGUGUCCUUUAGUGUUCCCAUGUAAUAUUUGUCUAGGAGGUGAGUAUGCUUCCCAUUUGAAUCAUUGGGAAGAUUCCCAUUGACUGUACUGUCAGCGGGCUUGGACUUUAAACCUAGGCUAAACUUAAAGGCAUUCCCAUAAAACACAGCAGCCCUGACCUUGCAAUUUGGUUCACGUAGGAAGAUAUUCAUGCUUACAGGACUCCUAUUAAGUCGACAAGGCAAGGCAUCAGUGCUGAUCUUGUGUGACUGGAUUACAGGAUUGAAGCUGUGAUUUGCCCUCCUAAAACCACUUUAAUUUACUUAAACAGAUAAAUCCUAGUAUCAGAUUUCUUAUUGACUACCCUUUCUGAAAUGCAAAAAAAAAAAUCAACUUGUCAACUUUCUUCAGAUUUUGAAUGGACUACUUCACCUCCUAGCUCUGGAUUACAAUAAGCUAGAAUAUCUGCUAGAAGGUAGAAGUUCGGUUCCUUCCCAGGCAGAUCAGCUGCUGGAUUUGACAAGUAUAUAUCAGUAACGAAGACUUCACUAGAGGGAAUUCUUACCAUGAGCAGAGACCAGAAGUUAGAAAUGUUGCAACUAUUCAAACUCUGGAGCAAGUCAUAUAUGCAUGCAGUCAAUGUGCAGUAUUCCACAAUACUUGGAAUGCAAGGGUAAGACUUGAAAGAGGAUUUGAGAACCUCUGCUGUAGAACAGAUUUUUUUUUUCUUUUUCUUUUUUUUUUAGACAAGAGGCCAGACAGCAUCACUGUGCUCAAAAGGGUUAUUUGUGAAUAACUCAGAGCUAAAGUGAUUAUGGGCUCCAGCUCCUAGCCAAAAAAAAAAAAAAAGUUUAAAAAACACCAAGCUUGUCACUGCUGCUGUUUUUUUGUUCAAUGAGCAAGAGGUGAGCAUUUGACUUAAUUUUGAUUUUGUUCCUUUACCCCUAGGGAUAGUUUCAACAGAAUGCAUAAGAUUUGAAGGAAUUAAGAAAUGUGGAUAUAGAUAGAUAUAUGUAUAUAUAUGCAUUUUUGUCAUUGAACUAUGAGGUUAAAGAUGCAUAAAGGAGCAUUUUGAGAUGCACAGAAAAUAUUUAUGAUAAAUAGAAAUAGCAAUAACAGAAGG